CAAAAUACAGAGGCCCGAUGCUACUUUGCUUUCUUUCCAUUGGGAUGCCAGACUCAUGGAAUGCUGACAAGCAGCUCAGGAGAGAUGAAAUGCAGCCCAAAAUCGAGGUCCAAGCCCAUGUUACUCAUGGUGUUUCUCAGGGUGUUUCUCAGAUGUAAAGUAACUUUAUGGUCUUAGACAUGAAGAAUUUGGAGAAUUCCAGUGAACAGCAUCUAUUAUAAAACUCUUAUUCUCUGAGGAAAGGUAUUAUCUUUCUCAAAAAAGGCAGUAACAUCUUUCUCAAGGUCUUAAGGACCUGAAGAUUAAUUAAUUUCCAGAGAAAACAGGUACUAAUACGGUGCCUCUCCCGUCUUUCCCAUGUCCGUGGUUAUGGAAGCGGCAGGCAAACUGAUGUUGAAACUCUAGAUAAAUAUCUACAAUGGAACAUUUAUUGAUAUCUGUAUUUAGAUAUUUUGUGUCAAAUGUCCUGGAUGUCAAUUUGUCAUCAGAAGAUUAUUGAUUUGCAUUUGAAACUGGAGAUGAAGAUUUCUGAUGGAGUGGAAA
rnacentral:lncRNA from 1 species